AUUGAACGCUGGCGGCAUGCCUUACACAUGCAAGUCGAACGGUAACAGGUCUUCGGAUGCUGACGAGUGGCGAACGGGUGAGUAAUACAUCGGAACGUGCCCGAUCGUGGGGGAUAACGAAGCGAAAGCUUUGCUAAUACCGCAUAAGAUCUACGGAUGAAAGCAGGGGACCGCAAGGCCUUGCGCGAACGGAGCGGCCGAUGGCAGAUCAGGUAGUUGGUGGGAUAAAAGCUUACCAAGCCGACGAUCUGUAGCUGGUCUGAGAGGACGACCAGCCACACUGGGACUGUGACACGGCCCAGACUCUUACGGGAGGCAGCAGUGGGGAAUUUUGGACAAGGGGCUAAAGCCUGAUCCAGCCAUGCCGCGUGCAGGAUGAAGGCCUUCGGGUUGUAAACUGCUUUUGUACGGAACGAAAAGACUCUGGUUAAUACCUGGGGUCCAUGACGGUACCGUAAGAAUAAGCACCGGCUAACUACGUGCCAGCCGCCGCAGUAACAC
rnacentral:rRNA from 1 species